rnacentral:rRNA from 1 species
ACGCGAGCUGGGUUCAGAACGUCGUGAGACAGUUCGGUCCCUAUCCGUCGCAGGCGUAGGAAAUUUGAGAAGACCUGUCCUUAGUACGAGAGGACCGGGAUGGACGUACCUCUGGUGUACCAGUUGUCCUGCCAAGGGCAUGGCUGGGUAGCUAUGUACGGAAUGGAUAAGCGCUGAAAGCAUCUAAGCGCGAAGCCAACUUCAAGAUAAGAUUUCCCACCGCAAGGGUAAGACCCCAGAAAGACUAUCUGGUUGAUAGGUCGAAGGUGUAAGUGCAGUAAUGUAUUUAGCUUAUCGAUACUAAUAGGUCGAGGACUUGACCAAU